rnacentral:rRNA from 1 species
CGAAGGCAGCACACUAAGCCGUAACUGACGUUCGUGCUCGAAAGUGUGGGUAUCAAACAGGAUUAGAUACCCUGGUAGUCCACACGGUAAACGAUGGAUACUCGCUGUUGGCGAUAUACUGUCAGCGGCUUAGCGAAAGCGUUAAGUAUCCCACCUGGGGAGUACGCCGGCAACGGUGAAACUCAAAGGAAUUGACGGGGGCCCGCACAAGCGGAGGAACAUGUGGUUUAAUUCGAUGAUACGCGAGGAACCUUACCCGGGCUUAAAUUGCAAAGGAAUGAUUUGGAAACAGGUCAGUCUUCGGACCUUUGUGAAGGUGCUGCAUGGUUGUCGUCAGCUCGUGCCGUGAGGUGUCGGCUUAAGUGCCAUAACGAGCGCAACCCUCGCCGCCAGUUACUAACAGUUAAAGCUGAGGACUCUGGCGGGACUGCCAUCGUAAGAUGUGAGGAAGGUGGGGAUGACGUCAAAUCAGCACGGCCCUUACGUCCGGGGCUACACACGUGUUACAAUGGGCGGUACAGAAGGCAGCUACCUGGCGACAGGAUGCCAAUCCCUAAAGCCGCUCUCAGUUCGGACUGGAGUCUGCAACCCGACUCCACGAAGCUGGAUUCGCUAGUAAUCGCGCAUCAGCCACGGCGCGGUGAAUACGUUCCCGGGCCUUGUACACACCGCCCGUCAAGCCAUGAAAGCCGGGGGUACCUGAAGUGCGUAACCGCAAGGAGCGCCCUAGGGUAAAACCGGUAAUUGGGGCUAAGUCGUAACAAGGUAACCA